rnacentral:lncRNA from 1 species
AAAAAAGUAAAUAGCAUUGGAAUUUGGUUCUGUCGUAAGCUCCUGAGGUUGAUCAGUCAGACUUAAAGCAAAAUUGGAGCUGGUUUCCAGUCUCUCUCACUGCCUCCCAUCCUGCUGCUGUCAGAGUGAUCCUCCUUUUUCUUUUUCUUUUUUUCUCAGUACGGGAUGUCCAUCACAGGCCUAAAUCUCUGAAAUACUGAUUUUGAUCAGCUAAACCUCCUUUAUUUUCAAAUAAGUUCCAGUCGCUGUACGCAUUUGAUUGGCGCUUUUCCCCAGCAACCUAAUGCUCAGUUUGGAGUAAUGGGAACACAAACCAUUAAUAAAAGAUUAAAGAAAAAGCAAAACACCAGGAUUUAAAAUUCCAAACAUAUCUCUGUAGACUGUCUUUAUAAAAGGCAGUUUCUUCGGCAGGCGUUGAAAUGCAAUUCUUCCUACGCAUUAAUAAUAAAAUCAGACGUGAACUUUCAGAUUGCUGUGCUGAGCAAAAUGGAUGUAGUUCUUUUAAGUCCAUAAAAGUAAAGAAAAUCAGAUUUUAAGAACCAAGAUCACACUUGAGCACAGUUGGAAAACUACAGCAUGUUACCAAAACCUCAUUAAACUGUCAUAAGCUUUCUCUGUACAUUUCCUUUCACUGUCGUCUUGAUUGCCAAGAUAUUUGUGUGUAAAUACUCUUUUCUAGCCGGGUUCCCCCUCCUCGGAUGCUAUUUGUGACAACACAGCCGUUCCCGUGGGGACUGCGAGGUGCCAUGUCAGGAACAGCAGUGACCUCGCGAGCCUGCUGGAGGGCGGAGGUGGUCGGAAUGGCCAAGGCAGGAAAAGUGGAAAAAUAUGUGCGGAAAAAUGAGGGAACUCUAACAAGAUGUGGAUAAAGUACCGAAACAAAUUCUAUGGACCAAGUAAUGUGGUGUGAUCGAGUGAACUGAAAUGCCAAACUCUGCAGAACUGCAAGAAAAAGCAAGAGGUGGAGCAUCUUGUUACGGAGGAGGACCUGGAGUAUACGACAAGUUUUCACCUGCUGUGAAACGCUCUGUCACAGUCUGGAUACACACUGAGCAGAUUUUAGCUGUUGCCCAACAUCUUGUUUCUGCACCCAUUUAAAUCAGCAGAGAAGACUCACAAUCUUUGCUGGUGAGUGAGCAGUUUAACUCUGAAAGUAGUAAACUACAGUUUAAUAUCGAAAAGGUGGGAUCUAACGCUGCAGAUAAUCUGCAGUUGCCAUUAAUUUAUGGAUUAGUCUACACACACCCUUACCACCUCAAAGAAUG